rnacentral:lncRNA from 1 species
UUAUCUUUCAUUUACCACAAUCAAUCAUCAUCGCACACACAUGUCAUCACAAGGACUUUUUCAAGGCUUAUAAUGUGGUUGGGCUAACAAGAAAAAUUGGUUUUUCUAGAUCACAAAAUCCUUGAGUUAAGAGAGUCAUUCAAACAUUCAUAGUUCAAGCACAAACUCUUUUUUUUACCAAUCUCACUCAUUCCCAACUUUCCCUUUUCUUUGCAUUGAGCUUUUCUUUUCAUUCUAUCUUUUCUAUCUUUUUCAUCUUUUUCAUGCUUUGCUCAUCACAUUAGCUCAAUGCUUAUCUUUUCUUUUUCAAUCUUCCCA